GACGAACCGUGCGAACGUUGUUCGGAAUCACUGGGCUUAAAGGGCGCGUAGGCGGGCCACCAAGUCCGGGGUGAAAUCCUCCAGCUUAACUGGAGAAUAGCCCUGGAUACUGGUGGUCUCGAGCGAGGUAGGGGCAGCUGGAACUUCCGGUGGAGCGGUGAAAUGCGUUGAUAUCGGAAGGAACGCCGGUGGCGAAAGCAAGCUGCUGGACCUCUUCUGACGCUGAGGCGCGAAAGCCAGGGGAGCAAACGGG
rnacentral:rRNA from 1 species